AAGUCGUAACAAGGUUUCCGUAGGUGAACCUGCGGAAGGAUCAUUGCAAAUCAAAGAUUGGGAAUGGAAUGUUGGUGGCAAAAUGGUUUGAGAGCAAUCUUGAACAAGUUUUGCUACUUUCAUUUCAUUUUCAUAUACGCACAGUGUGCUUAGAUGAGAAGGGUGCAAAUUCUCUUGUCCAUGCCGCUGAUGUUUACGCUUGUUUGUUUGACAAAUCUAUUACAUUUAAAUAUUCAAAACUUUUAACAACGGAUCUCUUGGCUCUU
rnacentral:misc_RNA from 1 species